rnacentral:tRNA from 1 species
UCGGGGAUCGGCUAACGGUAGGCUGGCAGCCUUUGAAGCUGCCUGUGGAGGUUCGAGUCCUUCUCCCCGAA